AGCCAGAACACAGGUGCUGCAUGGCUGUCGUCAGCUCGUGUCGUGAGAUGUUGGGUUAAGUCCCGCAACGAGCGCAACCCUUGCCAUUAGUUGCUACGAAAGGGCACUCUAAUGGGACUGCCGGUGACAAACCGGAGGAAGGUGGGGGAUGACGUCAAGUCCUCAUGGCCCUUAUAGGUGGGGCUACACACGUCAUACAAUGGCCGGUACAGAGGGUAGCCAACCCGCGAGGGGGAGCCAAUCCCACAAAGCCGGUCGUAGUCCGGAUCGCAGUCUGCAACUCGACUGCGUGAAGUCGGAAUCGCUAGUAAUCGCGGAUCAGCAUGUCGCGGUGAAUACGUUCCCGGGUCUU
rnacentral:rRNA from 1 species